UGACAUUCAGUAAGCCUUUAGUUUCCCAGGAUUCCUUUGGAUCUGCACCUGGACAGAAUGGACUCGGAGCCUGAAUUAAAGUCACCCCAUUUGGAUAGGAUUUCAUUUCUAGCUCAACCAAAGAACUCCAAGACGGUUUGGGCCACAACACCUUGGAUACUGACAUGGGGAAACCAGGAAUCGAUAC